GCUCUUCCAGAUCCUCUUUCAAGGCUCAAAAACUACAACACCAAUUAAGAAAGCUCUGUAAGCAUACUUAGAUGUGAACAACCUAGAAUUGGUGAAACUCCAAACAUGCUUGUCAGCUCUAUCUAGUUUUGUGGAAAUAUUAAGGUUAAAGCCAGCCCAAGGUUUAGAAGACUCCAUCGAGGCCGAGCUUUUUGGAACCAAGGUAUCACCAAGACUGGGCUUCUGAAAAUAGAACGGAUCGGCGCUGGAGCUGGAGCUCGUCUUGUCCGACGGCGCUCCUGGGCGCUCCUCUCCCUGGUCCUCGGCCCUGUCAUCGCUGAUUGGUUGGAGCUCCCUGGCCCGACGGUCUUCUCUGCCCGAGCUCCCUCCCGGCGGCAAGCCGGUCCCGUUCAAUCCCGGCGGAGCUCCCAUCCAUCUCUUCCUCGCGCCUCGUCAGCUGAAGCUCACCUUUGGAAAUAGCUGACACACUUCUGGAAUGACUUCAACAAGAAGGUCGGCGCCUUUUCGGUAUACUAAUCUACUGACCACAACAAUAACUAUUUCAUCAUAGUUUAAGCGCUUGGGAGAGGGAGUAAACAUUGCAGUGUCAACUGCAUUAGGAACCAUGAAAACCUUCUCUAGAGAUAUCCCAGACCUCAAGACAGUGUUCUAUUUGCUUCUAAGUGAGACACAUAUUGCCUGAUCAAUAUCUGCAAGAGUAAACUGCAGCACCUUAUUCAUGUGAAUGCUUCCAGCAUCAGCAAAACCAUAAAGUGAGUGAUCUGUGAAGACAACUUUGUACCCCAUUGUCCUAGCAUGUAUUAAUGCUUCAUGACACAAUGUUGAAAAAGCUUGAUGUCCAUGCACGACAGAAAUCUUCUUGUUGAAAAAACUUUGUACCCCAUUGUC